GCGGAGGUAGCUCAGGUGGCAGAGUGACGGAUUGAAAGGUUCGUAGGUCGGUGGUUCGAGUCCAUCCCUCCGCU
rnacentral:tRNA from 1 species